rnacentral:lncRNA from 10 species
GACACUCCACUAGUCAGGGAAAUGAGGUGGAACCAGCAAAGAAGACAGAAACAACAGCCACAGAGCUAAAAAGGAGAAGCAAGUGAGUCUCCAAAACUAAGUGAAAAAGAUGUGUUUUGAAGAAAAGGGAGUGAGCAACUGUGUUGAGUGCUGAAGACAGGUCAAGUAUAAAGAGGGCUGAGAUUGGACCACUGGAUUUGGCAGCAUGGAGGUACCUGAUGCCACCAAUUCCUGAGUUUUUCUGCUGUUCAGUGGAGUGGACUAUCGCCUUCAAAUUAGCCUGGCCCUGGGCAGGAAAUGAAGACCCUGAAUCAGCCCAUCAGAAGCAGGAGAUCCCUUUCGUCGACCUUCUCAUUCCAUCUCUAUGCUGGAGCAUUCUUGUGACCUAACCAUAUUGAAACUGCCUUUGCAAAAUAUGACUGAGACAGUGAAAGAGGUAUAACUUCACCAAUUCCAUCUUGGUUCUAACCUCCAAGCUCUCCUUGAUCAUUCCUAGGCAUAGGCUGAACUAACUUUGGGAGAAACUUAGUUUAUAGUUUACAAUUUAAAACAGACAUGGUAACAGCCCUUUCCUAAAGCAGGCCUCCUUCUUGCCUGGGAACUAGAUUGCCUCCGUAGGACUAACAUUAGCCACAAGAUUAGAAAUUAUGGUUUAGGAGUCACGCAACUGGAGGCUAUAAGAUUCUGACCCUCCCUAAACUGCUCC